CAUGACUUAAGUACUAGAUCACACCCAAGGAUCACAACGUCUACAACACAUUCAAGUAGACCAACAUCUUGCUUGGGAUGCAUUGUUUGUCACCAAACAGUCCCAGAUUGCACUGUGCCAAAUCCAAUAUGGCGGUAUUGAUGCAGCGUUCUGACAGCUGUUUGG